rnacentral:tRNA from 1 species
GCCAGUGUAGUGUAGUGGAUUGAGUGUUGGACUAUGACCCUGAAGAUCAGGAUUCAAAUCCCUGCUUGGCCA